AGUAGAAUCCAAUUCAUCGACCACUUGUUGGCCAACACCACGUUUGGAUUUCAUGGCUUUGAGCCAGACUGAUAAGAAAAAUUGGUUGAAAUCCUUAAACUUUAUUACUAGGUCGGGAAGUUAGGAAGAGUGCAUGAAUAAGUAUAAUAAAAUUCAGAGGAAGAAGAUAAUAGCCUAGCUAUUUCCCAGUUAGCGUUUUAAACAUUUUUCUUGUACGUGGAAGAGUAGAAUUCUCGUUUUGCUACAAUGAAUUUGGAAUGUUUGUGAAUGAACGUGGCCAAAGAACUCGAAACAUCGAUCGAACAUGGCAUCAUUUACCUUUUUGCUUUUGACUCGUAUACAUAACUAAUCAAAGAAUCCAGAAUGAAUCCCAAUCGAAUUAUCUAGCCUGUAUUAUUUGGGAGUAGUUGGCUCAAAAGGAAUUUAUAUAGCGGCAAUAAAUUCGUUCUUGG